rnacentral:rRNA from 1 species
CCUACGGGUGGCAGCAGUGAGGAAUAUUGGUCAAUGGACGCAAGUCUGAACCAGCCAUGCCGCGUGCAGGAAGAAGGUGCUAUGCAUUGUAAACUGCUUUUAUACGGGGGUAAUUACAGAUACGUGUAUCUGGAUGAAAGUACCGUAUGAAUAAGGAUCGGCUAACUCCGUGCCAGCAGCCGCGGUAAUACGGAGGAUCCGAGCGUUAUCCGGAUUUAUUGGGUUUAAAGGGUGCGUAGGCGGUCAGGUAAGUUAGAGGUGAAAGCUCGAUGCUCAACAUCGAAACUGCCUCUGAUACUGUCUGACUAGAGUGUAGUUGCGGAAGGCGGAAUGUGUGGUGUAGCGGUGAAAUGCUUAGAUAUCACACAGAACACCGAUUGCGAAGGCAGCUUUCCAAGCUAUUACUGACGCUGAGGCACGAAAGCGUGGGGAGCGAAC